CAGUCACGUCUGUGUCAAGAUGGACACUGGACCUCAAAGACCAAAAUCAGAAAAACCCCAGAGUGCAAAAAGAUCACAUGUCCCAAUCCCUGUGUUUUCGAGAAUGGAGAGGUGAUUCCAUAUAAAGACAAGUACUAUGUAAAUGACACAACCACCUACUCAUGUCAUUCCGAUUGUACGUUCCGUGGCUCAGAGGUCCGUGUUUGCAAGCCUAAUGGGAAGUGGAGUGGAAGCACACCAAUUUGUGGAUGUGAAUCCGAUCACUGUCCUGAUCC